CAACUACAUCAUUAUUAGGUAUAGGAAAUAAAACUCCCAAGAACUGAUAGAGUUUUCAUUUAGGUCUUAUAGUACAACAUUCUAGACUCUCACACAGUCAUCAUCAUCAUCAUCAUCAUCAUCAUCUUCAAAAUAAACAACAAACACUUCACAUCUUACUUCACUAUCCCGCACGCACGCACACACGCACACUCACUCACUCACUUUCACAAAUGCACAUAUACAGUCUCUCUCUCUCUCUCUCUCUCUCUCUCUCUCUCUCUCUCUAUGUCUUUUUACGUUUGCUGUGAUCGUUAAGUAAAAAAAAAAACGGAAUUGAUGUGUUUUUUGUGUUUUUUUCUUGUUCUUGAAAAUAAAAUUGGGUCGUGUAUUUUAUUUUUUGGUUAUUUCAUCGUUUUUCUUUUUACUAAUUAUUGUUUAUUGGGGGGGUUGUGUUUGUUCCUAAUUUUAAUCCUGUUUGUGUUUGGUUUUAUCUAUCUGACUUUAUUCUUUGUUUGUUUGUUUGUGUGUUUGUUUUCGUGUUGUUAUCCCGAAGAAACGAAAGAAAAAAUGUCGGUUGGGAUGUUUUAUUUGCUCUCAAGUUUUAGUUUUAUUCUGUUUGUUUAUUUCAUGUCCUGUUUGUUUGUCUGUUUGUUUGUUUGCAUUGCUCCUGUUUGUUUACUUGUUUGACGUGUUUGAUUCAAGGAACAUGUGUUGAGAUCAUAAACACACACACACACACACACACACACACACACACACACACACACACACACACACACAUUAUAACUAAACUUGUACAGCAAAAAUCGGAUCCAACUCUCUAAAACACACACACACACACACACACACACACACACACACACACACUUAAGGUAUUGAGACGUUUUAAAAGGUGUUCUGUUUUACAAGUUCAAACAUCAGUAGCAUUAUCAUCACCAUUAACACCAUCUUCAUCACCACCAUAAGUUCGAGGGGCUGGAGGGAGUAGGAGGAGGCGAGGCAAGAGGAGGAGGAAGGGGGGUGGGGGUGGGGGUACGAGGUGGAGGAGGAGGAGGAGCGGGAUGAAGGGGGUGGAGGAGGGGAGUGGGGUGGGGCAAAGAGAGGAGAUGGGGGGGUGGGGGUCAUCAUGCAGUGUUUUUUGGGGAUCAGACCUGUAGAAGAAACACGUACAGUACACGAAGUUCAAAAAAUAGGUAUCAGCCCUCAUAGCAAAGGUAAAAAAUAAGUGUUUAAAGGGGAGUAGAUUAUGUGCGUUGAUUUUGACCUGGUUUGUGAUUUUCCAUUUUAAUUAUUUCUAUGUAUGUAUUUUCCUAUGUAUUAUUUUCUAUGUAUUUUUUUUUCUUCUUUCCCUUUCUCUCUGUUAUGUAUAAAAAGGAUUGGAUUGUGUGUGAAUUUUUGCGUUUUGUGAUAGUCUUUUUAAUUUCUUUUCUGUAUCUAUUUUUUCUAUGUAUUUUUUUUUCAUUCUCUCUCUCUCUCUCUCUGUUAUGUAUAAAAAGGAUUGGAUUGUGUGUGAAAUUUUGCGUUUUGUGAUAGUCUUUUUAAUUUCUUUUCUGUAUUUAUUUUUUUCUCUCUUUCCCUUUCUCUCUGUUAUGUAUAAAAAGGAUUGGAAUGUGUGUGAAUUUUUGCGUUUUGUGAUAGUCUUUUUAAUUUCUUUUCUGUAUUUAUUUUUUUCUCUCUUUCCCUUUCUCUCUGUUAUGUAUAAAAAGGAUUGGAUUAUGUGUGAAAUUUUGCGUUAUGUGGUAGUCUUUUUAAUUUCUUCUCUGUAUUUAUUUUUUCUCUCAUUUUUUUUCUCUUUCCCUUUCUCUGUCAUGUAUAAAAAAGAUUGGAUUAUGUGUGAAUUUUUGCGUUUUGUGAUAGUCUACUUAAUUUCUUCUAUGUAUAUAUUAUUUCUAUGUAUCGUUUUUCUCUUUCCCUUUCUCUGUCAUGUAUAAAAAGGAUUGGAUUAUGUGUGAAAUUUUGCGUUUUGUGAUAGUCUAUUUAAUUUCUUUCCUGUAUUUAUUUUUUCUAUUUCAUUAUUUUCUCUCUUUCCCUUUCUCUGUCUUGUGUAUAAAAAGGAUUAGAUUAUGUGUGUGAAUUUGAACCUCUUUUUCUGAUUUUCUUUUGGUAUAUUUUUUUUCUCCCUCUCUCGUUACAAAAAAAUUUAGAUCAUAUAGUUUCAACCUGUUUGUGAUCUUCUAUUUGCAGUUUUUUUUCUCUCCAACUCUCUCUUGUAUUAAAAAAGGUUAGAUUAUGUGAAUUUUAAUCUGUUGUGAUCUAUCUCUUUAUUUAUUUAUUUUCUCUCCCUUUUUCUUUAACUUUCUUUUUCUCUCUCUCUGAUUUCAUUCAUCUAAUUUAGUUUCCCUUCCUUCUCUUUCCUUUCCUAUAACUGGUCUGUUGUUGCCUAUAUACAUACCUACAAAUCUACUAAAACAUAUAUUCUUGUUUUUUUUUUUCUUCCAUUUUAACCUGUUGUGAUUUUCUAUUUCAUUCAUCUAUUAAUUUACUUUCCUUUUUUCUUUUUCCUUUCCUAUAAUGGGUCUGUUGUUGCCUAAAUAUAAAUACCUACAAAUCUACUAAAUCACAUCUUCUUGUUUUUCUUCGUUAUCCAUUUUAACCUGUUGUGAUCUUCUAUUUCAUUCAUCUAUUAAUUUACUUUCCUUUAUCCUCUUUCCUUUCCUAUAAUUGGUCUGUUGUUGCCUAAAUAUAAAUACCUUCAAAUCUACUAAAUCACGUCUUCUUGUUUUUCUUCGUUAUCCAUUUUAACCUGUUGUGAUCUUCUAUUUCAUUCAUAUAUUACUUUCUCUCCCUUUUUCUCUUUCCUAUAAUUGGUCUGUUCUUGCCUAAAUAAAUACCUACAAAGCCACUAAAUCACAUAUCCUUGUUUUUCUUCUUUAUUCAUACAAGUUUUUCAUUUUUCUUUCUGUUUUUAAUUCGUAAGGCUUUUGGGAAAUACUAAACUUUUCUUUGUUUUUUUAAUUCGUAAGUUUUGGGAAAAUACUAAACUCCUUGUGUGCUCUAAAAAUAUAUAUGAUUAGCACAACUUUCGCUCUCUCUAAAAUACGUUCGGGUGAUAUAUUUGAGUUUUGCGUUUCUGUAUCAUCCAAAAUUUAAGAAAGUAUGAAUUGCCGACAUGAAAGCUAUCUCAUUAUUUACUUAUUUUCCAUCCUUCUAUUGUUUAUCUUUUUUUUUUCUUAUGAGCCAAAAAAGUUAAUAAUUUCUCCUGAUAUUCGAUUAUUUGAUAUUGGAGAAGUAACGAUUUUUUUUUAUUUCUGCUGAUUUUUCUGUUUUUCUGUAGAUUUUUUUCAGUAAAUUUGUGUGUUUUCUGUUACCUAUUUCUGUAUAUUUGUGUUUUUUUCUAUUAUUUAUUUCUGUAGAUUUGUUUUUCUGUAGAUCUCUGUUAUUCAUUUCUGUAGAUUAAUGUUUUUCUGUAGAUCUCUGUUAUUCAUUUCUGUAGAUUAAUGUUUUUCUGUAGAUCUCUGUUAUUUAUUUCUGUAGAUUUAUGUUUUUCUAUUGAUCUGUGUUAUUUAUUUCUGUAGUUUUAUGGUUUUUUUUCUGUAGAUAUGUUAUAUAUUUCUGUAGAUUCGUGUUAUUUUUUCCAUUUUUUUGUUUUUUCGGGAAAGUGACUAUAUUUCCGAGUGUGUUAGUGUGUUCGUGUGUUGGUUAGCCGGGUUUGUGACAUCCAGUGUUCCCGUGGCUGUGAGGGCGUGGCGAUGGCAGUGUUGGGCGUGGGCGUGUGCGUGUUGCUUCUACAGGGCGUGUGUGUGCGUGUGUGUGUGUGUGUGUGUGUGUGUGUGUGUGUGUGUGUGUGUUAUCGUGUUCCCUUAAGCCUGCCACUAUCAUUCUCUCUCUCUCUCUCUCUCUCUCUCUCUCUCUCUCUCUCUCUCUCUCUCUCUCUCUCUCUCUCUCUCUCUCUCUCUCACGGUGGCAGUUUUUUUGGCUUUAUUUUCAUCUUUUUUGUUUGUUUGUUUGUUUGUUUGUGCGUGUGCGUGUGUGUGUGUUUUCCAUAUUCUUAAAUACCACGUUUGACUCCAUGUGUGUGUGUGUGUGUGUGUGUGUGUGUGUGUGUGUGUGUGUGUGUGUGUGUUCAGUCCCACCUUCCCCAUUUGACACACUGGGGGCGACUAACUCCCCUUGAGGUGAACUGGGGAGGGGGGGAAGAAGAAGAGGAGGAGGAGGAGGAGGAGGAGGAGGAGGAGGAGGGAUGAAAAAGACAGGCAAGGAAGCAGCAGAGUAGGAGAAGAAAGAGGAAAAAAAAGCGACUAUGGGAAGGGAGGAAACGAAGGAGGAGGAGAAGGAAAAAGAAUAGGAAGAGGAAAACGAGAGAAAACUGGAGGAGGAGGAGGAAAAGGAGGAGGAGGAAGAGUAGAAAAGAAGAUCAAGUGUAGGAUAGAACAUAUUAAAGGGAGAUUCACAGAGCUGUGGCAUUGGUUAAGGGAGGGAGAAGGGAUAUAAAAGGGAAGGGAAAGGGAGGAAGGGAGGGUACGGUAAGGUAUGAAGAUUGAGGCAGGGGAAUGCUUGAAGAGGGGUAAAGGGGAGGGAGGUAGGAAUUGAGGUAAUAGAGGUCCGAGGUAGGUAAGGGAUGAAGAGAGAGAAAGGGAUAGGCUUGAAGAGGGGUAAAGGGUAAGGAGGCAGGGAUUGAGGUAAGGUUACGGAUGAAGAAAGAGAAAGGGGAAGGCUUGCAGAGGGGUAAAGGGAAAGGAGGCAGGGAUUGAGGUAAGGUUAGGGAUGAAGAAAGAGAAAGGGGAAGGCUUGCAGAGGGGUAAAGGGUAGAGCAGGGUUGAGGAUAGGGAGGUUCGACGUCAGGUUAGGGAUAGGGGAAGGGUACCUGCACAUACGCUACCUAGCUAUUCAGGGUUAAGUGUUCGCUCUGUAUCUACAUGACUAUAUACAUCGGUAACCUAUUUAGUCUGGAAAAGUACACCGGUAUUUCAUUUUUUUGUUCUUAUGGAAAAAUACUUAAACGGAAUAGGGUGAAGCGACUUGCCGCCACGCACGCACACAUACACACACACGUACACACACACUCGCACACAUACACACACACACCACACGCGCACACACACACACACACGCACGCACGCACGCACGCACUCUGAGAUGGCCAGGUGGAGCGCUGCCCCCCUGGAAAUGCCCCCUUCAUGUCGAGAACUGGGGGAGGGACACACACACACACACACACACACACACACACACACACACACACACACACACACACACACACACACACACAGCGUCGCUCCCACACGAGACAAAUAUUGCUACACGGCUCAAGAUCAUCGUAAUCAUCAAUUUUUAUUUAUUUAUGACAUUAAAAUUAUAUUAUUUGGAAUAUAGAUCUAGCAUUAAUAACAGUAAACAUAUACACUGUAUAUGUAAUGAUAAUCCAUAAAAUCAUCAUCAGCAUCAUCAGCGUCAUCAUCAGCGUCAUCAUCGUCAUCGUCAGUGAGUUGGUUUUGUUUUUUUGUGAGACUUACGGUUAUGUAUUUUUUUACGGUGUUACUUUACGGUGUUUUGUUAAGGGUGUUCGCCAGUUUGUACGCGGCCUUCCAAUCAGUACGCACGUUAGGGAUGAGAAACUACCCUUGAAAAUUACCGUACGUGGAUAAAUAGAGAAAAAGAACCCAGAAUUAUCGUACGUGGCUCUCCAAUCAGUACGCACGUUGGGGAUGAAAAAAUACCCUUGAAAAUUACCGUACGUGGAUAAAUAGAGAAAAAGAACCCAGAAUUAUCGUAUGUGGCUCUCCAAUCAGUACGCACGUUGGAGAUGAAAAACUAUCCUUGAAAAUUACCGUACGUGGAUAAAUAAAGAGAAAAAGAACCCAGAAUUAUCGUACGCCGCUCUCCAAUCAGUACGCGCGUUGGGGAUGAAAAACUAUCCUUGAAAAUUGGCUCACGAAGAUAAAAAUUAAGAAAAGAAAGGAAGCCAUAAUAUAAAGGUUCGUAACUGCCUUAAAGUAGAAAUAAAGAUGAAAGAAAUUAAAAAUAAAAAUAAUAAAGACAAAGAAUAAAGGUUCAUAUUUGCCUAAAGUAGAAAAAUAAAGAGAAGAAAAAUAACA